UGAGGAACAUGACCUUCGGCGGGGGAUAGCCGGCCCAACGGCCGGGUAAUACCGCGUACGACCUUUCGGGGACAUCCUCGGAUGGUGAAAGCAGCAAUGCGCCGAUGGAGUGCCUCGCGGCCUAUCAGCUAGUUGGUGGGGUAACGCUCACCAAGGCGACGACGGGUANCUGGUCUGAGAGGAUGGCCAGCCACAGUUGGGACUGAGACACCGGCCCAGACCUCCG
rnacentral:rRNA from 1 species